rnacentral:rRNA from 1 species
CGACGGGUGAGUAACACGUAUCCAACCUGCCGUCUACUCUUGGACAGCCUUCUGAAAGGAAGAUUAAUACAAGAUGGCAUCAUGAGUCCGCAUGUUCACAUGAUUAAAGGUAUUCCGGUAGACGAUGGGGAUGCGUUCCAUUAGAUAGUAGGCGGGGUAACGGCCCACCUAGUCUUCGAUGGAUAGGGGUUCUGAGAGGAAGGUCCCCCACAUUGGAACUGAGACACGGUCCAA